CCUACGGGUGGCAGCAGUGAGGAAUAUUGGUCAAUGGACGAGAGUCUGAACCAGCCAAGUAGCGUGAAGGAUGACUGCCCUAUGGGUUGUAAACUUCUUUUAUAUGGGAAUAAAAUGUUCCACGUGUGGGAUUUUGUAUGUACCAUAUGAAUACGGAUCGGCUAACUCCGUGCCAGCAGCCGCGGUAAUACGGAGGAUCCGAGCGUUAUCCGGAUUUAUUGGGUUUAAAGGGAGCGUAGGUGGAUUGUUAAGUCAGUUGUGAAAGUUUGCGGCUCAACCGUAAAAUUGCAGUUGAAACUGGCAGUCUUGAGUACAGUAGAGGUGGGCGGAAUUCGUGGUGUAGCGGUGAAAUGCUUAGAUAUCACGAAGAACUCCGAUUGCGAAGGCAGUUCACUGGACUGCAACUGACACUGAGGCUCGAAAGUGUGGGUAUCAAACAGGAUUAGAUACCCUUGUAGUC
rnacentral:rRNA from 1 species